rnacentral:rRNA from 1 species
UACGGAGGGGGCAAGCGUUGUUCGGAAUUACUGGGCGUAAAGGGCUCGUAGGCGGCCAACUAAGUCCGACGUGAAAUCCCCAGGCUUAACCUGGGAACUGCGUCGGAUACUGGAUGGCUUGAAUUCGGGAGAGGGAUGCAGAAUUCCAGGUGUAGCGGUGAAAUGCGUAGAUAUCGGGAGGAACACCGGUGGCGCAAGCGGCUGACUGGCCGAGACCUGACGCUGAGACGCGACGGCGUGGGGAGCAAACCGG